UUCUUAUCCAGAAAGGUGGAGGGAACAGGCCCUGUGAAGCCUUAGCAACCUUUCCCGUUGAACCGCGGGAAAAGGUGCUAAUUCCUGCCCCAACUUACGGGGAAAGAUAAGAA
rnacentral:ncRNA from 2 species